rnacentral:lncRNA from 1 species
CCCAGGAGCUCACUGGUUCACCCGGCUUCACCUCCCUUGGUUUCCGAAGCUUAAAAUAGACUGAACCGGUGUGGCCACAUUUCACUGUGCCACUCAGAGAGAGCCCCUAGGGUGUUUUCAGAGCUGGCUCUGAGCUCCCCACCAGCCAGGCUCCGGCCCUGAGUUAUUCAUACACACCCAGGCUCCACCGGGUCUGCCAGGGGAAAUGUGUUCUGAGAGCUUCUCAGCUGGGCAGAUCCACAGGCACCUUUGCUGCUCAGUGGGCUCCGAUCAAUCAGCCACUUUAGAGGGCGUGCGUAAGGAGGGGUUGUGAGACCCUCCUGGCAGCCGGCGUGAGUACUGCAGGCAACCUGAUGCAGAGGCAGAUGGAGGAUUUGAUAUUAUGAAAAGCAUCUACUUUAUUGAGAAUGGAGGUUUAACUACUUGGGUGUCCAUUCAGAAGACAAUUAAGUCCCUAAAAGGAAACCUGAUGGCCCCUUCUGGCCUCUAUGAGCAUGGGCACAUACAUGAUGCACAGACAUACAUGCAGGGGAAGUACCCAUAACCAUAACAAAAUAAAUUGAAUAAAUACAAAGAGCCACUGAACCUGGAGUCCAGAGACAAUGAAGAAGACAAGAAAAGAAGACCGGAAGACAGUAACAGAGAGCUGCUGCUCUGGUUUUGUCCCCCGGGAUGGGACAACAGGCCUGGUCUUCCUGCUCACAGGGAUCCUCAACCUCUGAUCCCCCCACUCCCAGCCCUGCCUUGAUUCCAUUUCUUGACUUCUAAUUUCCCACCCCUACCAUCCCAUCCGUAAGAUCCCAACAGUAACUGGGGCUCCUUUUCCCAACCCAUUCCCAGCACCCCCUGAAUAAACCUUAAAGCCUCGGGGCCUCUGUCACCCUCCUCACCCAGACCCCAGUCCUUGUAAUUCUUAAUUAAUUCUUAAUUAAUUACUCUCUUUCAAUCACUC